rnacentral:rRNA from 1 species
AACGAACGCUGGCGGCAGGCCUAACACAUGCAAGUCGAGCGCCCAGCAAUGGGAGCGGCAGACGGGUGAGUAACACGUGGGAACCUUCCCUAUAGUACGGAAUAGCCCAGGGAAACUUGGAGUAAUACCGCAUACGCCCGAGAGGGGAAAGAUUUAUCGCUAUAGGAUGGGCCCGCGUAGGAUUAGCUAGUUGGUGAGGUAAUGGCUCACCAAGGCGACGAUCCUUAGCUGGUCUGAGAGGACGACCAGCCACACUGGGACUGAGACACGGCCCAGACUCCUACGGGAGGCAGCAGUGGGGAAUAUUGGACAAUGGGCGCAAGCCUGAUCCAGCCAUGCCGCGUGAGUGAUGAAGGCCUUAGGGUUGUAAAGCUCUUUUGCCGGGGACGAUAAUGACGGUACCCGGAGAAUAAGUCCCGGCUAACUUCGUGCCAGCAGCCGCGGUAAU